rnacentral:rRNA from 1 species
AUUGAACGCUGGCGGCAGGCCUAACACAUGCAAGUCGAACGGUAACAGGAAGCUGCUUGCUGCUUUGCUGACGAGUGGCGGACGGGUGAGUAAUGUCUGGGAAACUGCCUGAUGGAGGGGGAUAACUACUGGAAACGGUAGCUAAUACCGCAUAACGUCGCAAGACCAAAGAGGGGGACCUUCGGGCCUCUUGCCAUCGGAUGUGCCCAGAUGGGAUUAGCUAGUAGGUGGGGUAACGGCUCACCUAGGCGACGAUCCCUAGCUGGUCUGAGAGGAUGACCAGCCACACUGGAACUGAGACACGGUCCAGACUCCUACGGGAGGCAGCAGUGGGGAAUAUUGCACAAUGGGCGCAAGCCUGAUGCAGCCAUGCCGCGUGUAUGAAGAAGGCCUUCGGGUUGUAAAGUACUUUCAGCGGGGAGGAAGGGAGUAAAGUUAAUACCUUUGCUCAUUGACGUUACCCGCAGAAGAAGCACCGGCUAACUCCGUG